rnacentral:rRNA from 1 species
CAGUCGCCGCGGGAACACCGAGGAUGCAAGCGUUAUCCGGAAUGAUUGGGCGUAAAGCGUCUGUAGGUGGCUUUUCAAGUCCGCCGUCAAAUCCCCGGGCUCAGCCCUGGACAGGCAGUGGAAACUACCAAGCUGGAGUACGGUAGGGGCAGAGGGAAUUUCCGGUGUAGCAGUGAAAUGCGUAGAGAUGUGGAGGAACACCGAUGGCGAAGGCAGCCCCCUGGGCCAAUACUGACGCUCAUGCACGAAAGCGUGGGGAGCAAACAGGAUUAGAUACCCGGUAGUCCCUGUCUCUUAUACA